CCGAGUGAGGGUCUUUUUUUAGGCCCAACCUCCCACCCGUGUCUAUUUGUACCUUGUUGCUUCGGCGAGCCAACCGGGCUUAUUUGGUUCGGUUGCCGCGGAGGAAGGGGGAGACCUCCCCCCGAAUCCGGGCUUGCGCUCGCCGGAGACAUCCAACAUGAACACUUUUGAAGUUUUGCAGUCUGAGUUUUUUUUUUUUUGCAAUCAGUUA
rnacentral:misc_RNA from 1 species